GACGAACGCUGGCGGCGUGCUUAACACAUGCAAGUCGAACGGAAAGGCCCAGCUUGCUGGGUGCUCGAGUGGCGAACGGGUGAGUAACACGUGGGUGAUCUGCCCCUAACUUCGGGAUAAGCCUGGGACACUGGGUCUAAUACCGGAUAGGACAAUCGUUUAGUGUCGGUUGUGGAAAGUUUUUUCGGUUAGGGAUGAGCCCGCGGCCUAUCAGCUUGUUGGUGGGGUAAUGGCCUACCAAGGCGUCGACGGGUAGCCGGCCUGAGAGGGUGGACGGCCACAUUGGGACUGAGAUACGGCCCAGACUCCUACGGGAGGCAGCAGUGGGGAAUAUUGCACAAUGGGCGCAAGCCUGAUGCAGCGACGCCGCGUGGGGGAUGACGGCCUUCGGGUUGUAAACCUCUUUCGACAGGGACGAAGCUUUGGUGACGGUACCUGUAGAAGAAGCACCGGCUAACUACGUG
rnacentral:rRNA from 1 species